UCAAGAAUUGGGCUUUCUGUUUGAUUCUAAAUAUUCUGUUUAAGGCACUGCGUAAGGCUGGACUUUAUUAUAUCGUGGAGACGGUUUGCUGCAACCCAGUGCACACCUUUGGUGGGAUAAAAUAAUGUUUCAAGGACAACGACUUUCAUAACAUGCCUUAAAGCAAGUAUUUUCAAAAUUCCUAGACAUCUAAUUCCCAAAUUUUUCAACGGAAAUUAACUGAACUAUGGAUGAUAGGGAUUAGACAUACCAUACAUGAUACUAGUCAGCAAAGGAAACAAUGAAUGAGAAAUAUCGCGAGAGCCACUAAAUUAGACAAUAUGAUGCGCAAAGAGCAAUCCGUGAAAUGUCUUUAAUGUUCUGCUCCAGUAAAAACAUAUGAAUAAUGGUUAAGAAUUUUAAAACUUCAAUAAUAUAAACCAAUGGUCAAAACUCGACUUAAAAGCAAACCCUUUAAACUUUAAAUUUAAUUUUUAAUCCAAAUAAAUUAAGC
rnacentral:lncRNA from 1 species